rnacentral:lncRNA from 1 species
ACAAUAAUAAAAAAAAAAAAAUCAGUUACUUUUACCUCCACAUCCUUAAUUUGUGCAGUCUGGUAGGUUUUGCCCAUCAUCCUCACAAAGAUAAUGAACAUGUUCAGCAUCCAUUAAUGCUUUCUCAGGAACCUUUGUAGUCUGCCCCCUCCUGCCCAUUUCCUUGUUCCAUUGUAUACUCAGCCAACAAUUGAUCUGCUUUCUGUGCCUCUGGAUUAGCUAGCAUUUUUCUAUACUUUUAUGGAAAUAAACUCAUACAAUACAAGCUCUUUUCUUUGUUCAGAACAAUCAAUCUAUUUUAUUUCUGAGUGGUAUUCUAUUGCAUACAUAGAUUUAUCACUAUUUGUUGUUUUAUAUACAUUUUUGUUUUUAAUGAACAUGGAAUUAUAUAUUUACUGGAUAUAGUGCCACAUUUCAAUAUAUUUAUUCUUCUUAUUUGUCCUUAACUUAGUUUCAUAGCUUAAAGAUAACCCACUUCAGUGUUCUCAAACUUUGUGGCCUAUUAGAACUAAUCUGGGAAGUAUUUUAAAAUGCCAGUGCUCCAAAUCACAGACCAGAUCAAUUAAGCCAAAAUCUUUCAGAGCAGGCCAGAUACAGUUAUUUCAUUAAACAUUCCCCUAGAUGAUUCAGUGCACAGUGAAGUCUGAAAAAUACUGACAUAGCCUAAUCUUAUUGGCAAAUUGGAAAGUUUGACUGUUUCAUGUUCAUUAGCUUUGCCUUCUCAACCCUAGUUAGAGAAAUUUUUGCAUUUACUUAGCAAGAAUAACAUAGUCAUACAUGGUAGACAUGCAUAUAGCAACCCAUAAGUAAGCUCCAUUUUGCAGUGGUCUUUAUUACUAGUUUCUCAAGAACCAUUUCAGAUAUUCAAACGUUCUAGUUGGCACCCUCUCUGAUGUGAUCUAUCAGUAUGUAAUAGAUACUGAUCUAUUGGUAUCAGGCGAGGCCUGAGCUUCAUGUACAAACCAGAGCUGAGAAUCACUUACCUAUUUCCAGAUAAAAUGAUAUGUGAGUGAACACAGCCUGUCAUAACAUGUCAGACCUUUUAAUGUCUAAAGAUGAAAAAUACUAUUUAAACAAAUUUAUUUACCAAUUUACUCAAUAACAGUCUUAGUGUGCCUAAGAGUUUUUGUUGAAGGAAAGAGUAUUGUCUGAAUUAUGAAUUCUGUUACCAAAGGCACCAGUGGGCAACUAAUCUAUCACUGUACCAAGGAGCCCUAUAAAACAGUGCCAUGUUAACUUGAAACCAGAUAUAGAAAUACAAAUUGUAGCCAAUGUGUUGAAGUAGAAAAGUUCUUCAUCACUCCUUGUUCUAUAACUCUACAUUUCCUAAGGUGUUUGUUUUGGUACUGGAGAUUGAACCCAAGGGUGUUUUACUUCUGAGGUACAUCCCCAGCCCUUUUAAUUUCAUUUUAAAACUUUGAGAUAGGGUCUUGCUAAGUAUGAGUAUUUGAGAUUCUCCUGCCUCAGGCUCCUGAGUUGCUAGGGUUACAGGUAUGUACCACCCUGCCUGGUGCAUUGCCUAAGUUUUAAAAGUGAAGCCCUAUGAAUGUAUUUUUUCAUUUGAUAAUAUGUUUAUUCACUUGAUUUAUCGCUGCAUUUUCUAAUGCCAAAGACACCUCAAGCUAUUUUAGCCAAACAUUCUAAGUCCAUUCUAUCCCGGUAUACCCAGUUUAUCUCCUUAGUUUACCCUCCUCAGUUUCUACCUGCCUUGUCCCAACCUAUUCCUAUUUCAAUUGGAGGCAUGGCAUUAUUUGCUUUCUGGAUUGACAAGUUUUACAUCCUAGUAAACAAAAUGAGCAGGAACACACAUAAAGAAAAAUAAGUUAGUUUAUUUUUAUUAUUUCAGAAGGCAAGAAUAUAUCCCUGAAUAAUUAUGAGAUAUUUUACUAAGUAGAGAGGUAAAAGGGCCUCCUUUUUGGAUUUGGACUUGUGCUAAUGGUUCUAGAGUAGACUUCAGGAAGCAAGGCCAGUGCUAGAUUCAAUGUUGUCAAGAAGUGGGGUCAACUCAGUAACAGCGACAUCAUUAUUUUUUAUUUAGGGAAUAAGAGGAUUAAAGUAGGUGUAAAUCAGAAAGAUCAGGAGUAAAGGGGCAAUAUUCAACUUCUGUUAACUAUAAGAGAGGGUAUAUUUACUCUUCUUUAUUGUUUUGUAUAGUAUCCAUGGACCACUAGCAUUGAAAUUAUUGGUGGUGUUGCUAAAACCAGUAUUCUAAACCCUACCCUUAUCCUGUGAGAACAGCAUCUCUGAGAGUAGGGUAGGGCAUUCAUCUGCUAGUGAUUUUCAUGUAAAUUGAAGCUGAUUUAUUAUCUCUGACUUCUGUGUUUGAUGCAUAUACAUUUUAGAAUUAAAAACUUUUAAGAAGUUAAGCAAUUUGACCUGUUCCUCCUUAUGUUCCUAUCAUCUAGAAGAGUGGCUGACAUUUAGUUCAUACUCAAUAACUGGUGAAGUGAGUCAAUAGAAAAGAAUCUGAAGUCAUAGUCUCAAAAUAGGAAGACAAUUUAGAGGUCAUUAAGAAGCAAACUUUGGAACACAUUAGAAUCCUGGCUUCACUCAUGAGUGUUUAACCUUGGAUAAAUACUUAAUCCCUCUCUUCCAAAAUUCUCAAGAAUACCAAAAAAAUUGUACUACUUUACUAUUCAGUAAAAUAUAAAUGAGUUUAAAUAUAGAGAAUGCUUAGAGCAAUUCUUGUCUAAAACACCUGAAGAAUUUAGUAAAUUGUGACAUAGCACAAGCCAGCCCAAGGGCAGGCAUCUAAUCAGUCAGAUCCAAUUCAGUUUUUCUCACUCUUCUUCCAAUAAUUUUUAUAUAAUUUGGCAGAAAGACAUCAGAAGGUUCUUCCUUUCUAAUAUCUCACCAUAGUACUAGUCUUUCAUAUACAUGCAGAAAUUUCCAUUAUUGUAGUCAUUUUUCUAAAUCAGUGAAAUGGUGAAUGUUUGUUAAUAAAACAAAUACCUGUUACCCAUAAUGAACAGGAAAUCAUAAAUGGUGGCACAUGUCUGUACUCCCAGCAACGUGGGAGCCUGAGGCAAGAAGAUUGCAAGUUCAAGACCAGCCUCAGCAACUAAGUGAGGCCCUGUCUCAAAAUAAAAAAAGGAUGGGGUUGCGAUACUGCUCAGUGGUUAAGCGCCCCUAGGUUCAAUCUCUAGUACAACAACAACAACAACAAAAAGGCAAGCAAUACAAAUAAAAUCAUACAAUUUUAAACCCUAAAGAAGUUCAUUUAGCAGUUUCUGUUUUUUUUUUAAUACCUUUUUUUAAAAUUAUUAUUUUUAUGUGGUGCUGAGGAUUGAACCCAGUGCCUCAUGCAUGCUAGGCAAGUGCUCUUCCUCUGAGCCACAACCCCAGCCCCUUAGCAGUUUCUGUUUUACUUUUUUUUUCUUUUGAGAGAGAGAGAGAGAGAGAGAGAGAGAGAGAGAGAGAGAGAGAGAGAGAGAAUUAUAAUAUUUAUUUUUAGUUUUUCAAUGGACACAACAUCUUUCUUUGUAUGUGGUGCUGAAGAUCGAACCGGGCCCCGGGCCGCAUGCAUGCCAGGCGAGCGCGCUACCACUUGAGCCACAUCCCCAGCCCUCUGUUUUACUUUUGUUGUUUAGUUAGUUUUAUGGCAAUGCACUAGACCCCUUCCUGAGAUAAGCAUUGAUUAUAAUCAUAAUGAAGACUGGAUUGACCACUGUCCCACAGAUGCUGGCAUUUUAAAGGAAGAACAAACUAAAAGCUUCAACAUUUCAGUCUCACCCUUUGAUCUACAUUGGAAUCACAGUGGGGUUUGAUCUGAAGUGGGCAUUUUUUUUUUUUUUUUUUUGCGGGGGUGGGGGGAGACUUUAAUUAACUCUGAUAACUAAACAAACUUCCUGGUUCUGUUUCUUCCCGUGGAAGAGCAUCCCUGGAAAGAAAGCACUUUGUUUUGAGCAUUUAUGGGAGGCGCCUUGGAAAGGCGUCAUUUGCACUUCAGCACUGUAGAAAAAGGAAGGGGGGUGGGCAAAUAGGGUAUAGCUAAGAAGUCAUAGAGGUUAGAAACAAAGAUGUGACAAAAGGAGCAAGGCUAAGGACAGGGUAGAAAGAAAAAGUCACCGGGACCUGAAGUCAGUCUAUCUGACUAGAAAUCCUCAAGGAGAGGAGGCGGGGUUCAGAGACAAACUGGUCUUAGCUGAUCCGGUCUUCAGCUUCCCGGGCCGGGAGUCGCAGACUGGCCUGGGAGGCCACACCCAGGGCCUGGCAGUCCCGCGCUUUUCCGAGAGCAAUAGGAGUUUCCUGCACGAACUGGUGAAAGAACCAACGUAUGAAUGAUCCUCCUGCCAGGAUGGGGACCCCGGAAUCCCAGGGGUUUGUGCCUUUUACGGACUGCCCCCGCAGCCAGCGGGACCCCGGGUCCUCUCGGUGCGAGGUGGGGCGCGAGACUCCCCUGGCUCCCGGCGCCCGGGAUCCCGCACCAGCGGUGGCCAGCGGAAGCCUGGGCGGCUCCCAGGACUACAGGUCUGAAGGUCCAGCCCUCGGACCACCAGCCAGAGAGAAUUUGGAUUGUGAGUCCUGGGUGCGAGAGAAAGUGCUCUUUCUUCUGCACCCAGAAAGGUGGCUGGGGACUCAAGCGAACCCUGCAGGCGGAGACGUGGUCGGUGAGGAGGAACUUCCCCAGGCGAGCGGAGAGAACCACGACCAGGAACCCGACUGCUCUUCUCUCUUUCAAGGACAAAAGAGAAUUUCUGGCAGGCGAAUUAUCGCUCCUUCUGGAGUUCAGCCGCGAGACCCUGCAGCGCCACCCAAAUCUGUACUUGUGCGGGUCGUGGAUUAUCAGGCGACGCAAGAAGUGCUGCGGACUGCAUGGACGAAGGGUCGCAUGACCACGAGGACCGAGGAGCACUGCAUGACAGCGGUCACUUUUCGCACCAACAGAGAGUGAGACAUCGGGACCCCUGCCGAACCCCAGGCCCUCCUGAACCCCAGAGGCACCCAGCGUCCACGCAGGGCAUAGAGGAUGUUUUCACCGCCAGCGAGGACCUGAUUCCAGAGCAGAUUACACUGCGCAGAGGAACCUGAGGAAUGUUCCGGCAUCCUGGAUGAGCGAUAAUCCUUGAAAGAAAAUGCUGUUCCGGGGUCCCAACUUGCAAUUAACCGAUGGGAAGAAACUUGUAAGAGGCUGGCGGGAGCUGCGCUGCAUGGAGGCAGUGGGCGCCCAAAGUAGCUUGAAGAUCUGUAAACCGCAGGACCUCUGUGGCUGAAGUACCGUGAGGUUGUAGGGACCUAAGUCAUUGAGUUCGAUAGAAGGUAUUUUCAAAUUGGCAGAAUGCGGGAGCUUCGAAAUAAGAAAAUCGUUUUAAUUCGCGUUUUGCAAUAGCUCUUUUUUUGUGCCACCUUCGCCUCCCCUUUAAGGCCUAAAAGCUGAAGUGAAGUUUGAGAUCUGCUCCCCAGGAAGUUCAUAGGUGGGUGGGUGGGUGGAGGAGCGGGGGGGGGGGGAGACUUGUUUUAAAAGUUGAAAAAGAACAUUAAAUUUUAAAAAGUAAACAUAAAAUGAAGCAUCAAAUAUAGCAAAAUUUUUCUUGUUACCCUCUUCUGAUGUACAAGUCUUCAUCCCCCACCCCUCCAUAUUUCAGUGUUAAGAAGAAAAAGAGAGGAGCUAGGAAAAGAAGGGGGGAAUCGAAAAUUGAGCUUUGAAGGUAAAUGCCAUUUAAAUAGGGCUUUCCCCCAAACAAUAUAUAAUUUAGUCCAGUUAAAUACCUUUAAUUUGGAUUUUUAAAAAUUAUUUUAAUGUUAAAAAUACAGCAUAUAAAUCAUCCAAUCUAAAAAUAGAUAGAAAUACUAUAUAUAAUGUGCCAUAAGAUGAUUGUAUAACUUAUUCUUGUCCAUAGCUCAUUAUUAAUAAGAUUUGUAGUCAAGAAUAGAUCCAUAAUACUUCUUUCCUGGUGCUAUUGAAACAAAUUGUUUUCCUUAUUUUAUGUAUUCUCUUUUGUUAUUAAAAUCCAUCUUUGCUAACUCUUUAGAAUGUGGCCCUGUUUGGAACUCUGCGUGACCUUGUUGCUAUUGAAGGAGUUGUUGGUUGCAAGGGACAAUUAACGAAAGUGUGGGUCUUUGGCUUUUGAAGGGUAAAUGGUUGAGCAGCGCAGGAACCUCAGACUCUAGGACUUCCCAUUUGCCCUCAAUUUUCAUUUAGAGUUUGAAAUGCCCUCAAAAGAUCAUCUGAUGCACCUCUUGCCUCCAUGCAGGCAAGAUAAAUAAGGUCACUGUUUUACAGAUGAGCCAACUUUGGCUUAGAAGUCACACUGUUGCCUGUGUAGGUCAAUCAGCAAGUAAUUGCAUGUGCUUACCAAACAAAGAAUGUGAUCAUCUCCCUCCCAAAAGGUUGGGAUGACCUUUAGAGAGACUUAUUUCUAGAGGUCAAAAGAUGACUGUGGACAUUAUGAGUUUUCUAACUUAUGGUUAUGAAAAGAACUAGCAUCACCUGAUGUCUUUGAAGCCUAAUCACCUCUACCCUUUUCAGGCCUUUGAAACCCGGGUUAAGAAAGGAAUUCAGCACCUGGGCUUAUGUUCAAAACUGUCUGGUAGGCAGAAAAGGGAAUAUUGGCCUCUUAAAAUGAUUUUUUUUUCCUCUAGCAACGAUACCAGCCUCCUAUGUAAGACUAACUUUGGCAGGUAAAUAUUAUACCUGAAUUUGUUGAGUUAUCCCAUGUGCCAGGUGAUCGAGCAUUGGAUUUAAACCAAAAAUAAAAACAAAAACUUUUAAAAUUACCCAAAACAUUAGCUUCAUUUGGUUGACUUCUCUCAGGAGGUAAACUCUGGAGUUCAAGAGUUGGGUUGGGCUUAGAACUGGCUUCCUGUUACUAACUGUGUAACCUUGGGCAAGCUGGCUAAUCUUCAUGUGCCUCUCUGGCUUGUUUGUUAAAUGGGGAUAAUAAGUAGUGUCAUAAACUUUUUUCUAGGAUUAAGUUAAAUGAAAAUACUUAAUACUGCCUAGCAUACAACAGAUGCUUAAAAGCUAGUGAUUAUUGCUAGUGUGGUUGUUAUUUAGCUCACUUUUCACUCUAACCAGGCUUUAGUUUUUUAUUUAAUAACAAAGAGCAGAACGCAUAAAACACAAAAAAAUCUAGUGAAAGCCAAACCUGUGGUUUUUACUAAGAUUUUCUUCUUAUUCCUGAAUUUAUUUCUAUGUUCUCCCCAAACUUAACAGAUCAAUAAGUACAUUCCUUAAAUUCCUUAGAAGCAUGUCUGCAGCUUGUAUAAGGACUCAUGCAAAGGCUUAAAGGACUAGGGUGCAGAUUGCUUGGCAAAGUCUUUGAAAAGGUUGAAAAACAGUUCUUGGCAGAUAGGAGCUUUGAAUAUUUUCUUCAGGGCCUGUUGGGUUACCUUGUUUUCUCUCUGGAAUUUAAAAUCUGAUGUCCUGUCAUCUAUAAAAGGCAGAAUAGACACAAAUGGUUCUUAAAAAAAAUUCUGUCAAAAAUGUAUUUUUUAAAGUUUAAUUAAUAUUUUAAUCCAAGUAUUUUUGAAUUAAUUGUAUCUUCAUUAAGUGAAACAAUAUUUUUAAAACAAUUAUCCAACCUCCCUGUUGACUGCCUGCAAACUGUUCAUAGAAUUCCUUUAAGACAGAUGUCUCAUUGCCAACAAAAUAGUAGUAAGUUGAAGUUCUGUUGAAUUUGUUUUACAGAUAUCCU